CCUACGGGAGGCUGCAGUGAGGAAUAUUGGUCAAUGGGCGAGAGCCUGAACCAGCCAAGUCGCGUGAGGGAAGACGGUCCUAUGGAUUGUAAACCUCUUUUGCCGGGGAGCAAAAAGCGGUACGUGUACCGCAUCGAGAGUACCCGGAGAAAAAGCAUCGGCUAACUCCGUGCCAGCAGCCGCGGUAAUACGGAGGAUGCGAGCGUUAUCCGGAUUUAUUGGGUUUAAAGGGUGCGCAGGCGGCGAGUUAAGUCAGCGGUAAAAUUUCGGGGCUCAACCCCGACAAGCCGUUGAAACUGGCGUGCUAGAGUGGGCGAGAAGUAGGCGGAAUGCGUGGUGUAGCGGUGAAAUGCAUAGAUAUCACGCAGAACUCCGAUUGCGAAGGCAGCAUACCGGCGCCCAACUGACGCUCAGGCACGAAAGCGUGGGUAUCGAACAGGAUUAGAUACCCCAGUAGUC
rnacentral:rRNA from 1 species